ACCCGCUGAACUUAAGCAUAUCAAUAAGCGGAGGAAAAGAAACCAACAGGGAUUGCCCUAGUAACGGCGAGUGAAGCGGCAACAGCUCAAAUUUGAAAUCUGGCUUCGGCCCGAGUUGUAAUUUGUAGAGGAUGCUUUUGGUGCGGUGCCUUCUGAGUUCCCUGGAACGGGACGCCAUAGAGGGUGAGAGCCCCGUAUAGUUGGACACCUAGCCUUUGUAAAGCUCCUUCGACGAGUCGAGUAGUUUGGGAAUGCUGCUCAAAAUGGGAGGUAAAUGCCUUCUAAAGCUAAAUACUGGCCAGAGACCGAUAGCGCACAAGUAGAGUGAUCGAAAGAUGAAAAGCACUUUGAAAAGAGGGUUAAACAGCACGUGAAAUUGUUGAAAGGGAAGCGCUUGUGACCAGACUUGCGCCAGGUGGAUCAUCCAGCGUUCUCGCUGGUGCACUCUGCCUGGUUCAGGCCAGCAUCGGUUUUCUCAGUGGGAUAAAGGCUCUGGGAAUGUAGCUCCUUCGGGAGUGUUAUAGCCCGUUGCACAAUACCUCUGAGGGGACCGAGGUUCGCGCUCUGCAAGGAUGCUGGCGUAAUGGUCAUCAGCGGCCCGUCUUGAAACACGGACCAAGGAGUCAAGCAUUAGGGCGAGUGUUUGGGUGCAAAACCCGCACGCGUAAUGAAAGUGAACGUAGGUGAGAGCUUCGGCGCAUCAUCGACCGAUCCUGAUGUAUUCGGAUGGAUUUGAGUAAGAGCCUUACCGCUUGGACCCGAAAGAUGGUGAACUAUGCUUGUAUAGGGUGAAGCCAGAGGAAACUCUGGUGGAGGCUCGCAGCGGUUCUGACGUGCAAAUCGAUCGUCAAAUAUGAGCAUGGGGGCGAAAGACUAAUCGA
rnacentral:rRNA from 1 species